rnacentral:rRNA from 1 species
AACCUGCCCCCGACUCUGGGAUAAGCCCGGGAAACUGGGUCUAAUACCGGAUAUUACCUCUUGCCGCAUGGCAGGUGGUGGAAAGAUUUAUCGGUGGGGGAUGGACUCGCGGCCUAUCAGCUUGUUGGUGAGGUAAUGGCUCACCAAGGCGACGACGGGUAGCCGGCCUGAGAGGGUGACCGGCCACACUGGGACUGAGACACGGCCCAGACUCCUACGGGAGGCAGCAGUGGGGAAUAUUGCACAAUGGGCGAAAGCCUGAUGCAGCGACGCCGCGUGAGGGAUGACGGCCUUCGGGUUGUAAACCUCUUUCAGUAGGGAAGAAGCGAAAGUGACGGUACCUGCAGAAGAAGCGCCGGCUAACUACGUGCCAGCAGCCGCGGUAAUACGUAGGGCGCAAGCGUUAUCCGGAUUUAUUGGGCGUAAAGAGCUCGUAGGCGGUUUGUCGCGUCUGCCGUGAAAGUCCGAGGCUCAACCUCGGAUCUGCGGUGGGUACGGGCAGACUAGAGUGAUGUAGGGGAGACUGGAAUUCCUGGUGUAGCGGUGAAAUGCGCAGAUAUCAGGAGGAACACCGAUGGCGAAGGCAGGUCUCUGGGCAUUUACUGACGCUGAGGAGCGAAAGCAUGGGGAGCGAACAGGAUUAGAUACCCUGGUAGUCCAUGCCGUAAACGUUGGGCACUAGGUGUGGGGGACAUUCCACGUUUUCCGCGCCGUAGCUAACGCAUUAAGUGCCCCGCCUGGGGAGUACGGCCGCAAGGCUAAAACUCAAAGGAAUUGACGGGGGCCCGCACAAGCGGCGGAGCAUGCGGAUUAAUUCGAUGCAACGCGAAGAACCUUACCAAGGCUUGACAUGUGCCAGACCGCUUCAGAGAUGGAGUUUCCCUUCGGGGCUGGUUCACAGGUGGUGCAUGGUUGUCGUCAGCUCGUGUCGUGAGAUGUUGGGUUAAGUCCCGCAACGAGCGCAACCCUCGUUCCAUGUUGCCAGCACGUAGUGGUGGGGACUCAUGGGAGACUGCCGGGGUCAACUCGGAGGAAGGUGGGGAUGACGUCAAAUCAUCAUGCCCCUUAUGUCUUGGGCUUCACGCAUGCUACAAUGGCCGGUACAAUGGGUUGCGAUACUGUGAGGUGGAGCUAAUCCCUAAAAGCCGGUCUCAGUUCGGAUUGGGGUCUGCAACUCGACCCCAUGAAGUCGGAGUCGCUAGUAAUCGCAGAUCAGCAACGCUG